CCCUUAGAUGUCCGGGGCUGCACGCGCGCCACACUGAGUGGAUCAGCGUGUGUUUACCCUUCGCCGACAGGCGUGGGUAACCCGCUGAACCCCACUCGUGAUAGGGAUCGGGGAUUGCAAUUAUUUCCCAUGAACGAGGAAUUCCCAGUAAGCGCGGGUCAUAAGCUCGCGUUGAUUAAGUCCCUGCCCUUUGUACACACCGCCCGUCGCUACUACCGAUUGGAUGGUUUAGUGAGGUCCUCGGAUCGGCCCUGCAGGGGUUGGUCACGGCCCCUGGAGGAGCGCCGAGAAGACGAUCCAACUUGACUAUCUAGAGGAAGUAAAAGUCGUAACA
rnacentral:rRNA from 1 species